rnacentral:rRNA from 1 species
AUUGAACGCUGGCGGCAGGCCUAACACAUGCAAGUCGAACGGUAACAGGAAGAAGCUUGCUUCUUUGCUGACGAGUGGCGGACGGGUGAGUAAUGUCUGGGAAACUGCCUGAUGGAGGGGGAUAACUACUGGAAACGGUAGCUAAUACCGCAUAACGUCGCAAGACCAAAGAGGGGGACCUUCGGGCCUCUUGCCCUCGGAUGUGCCCAGAUGGGAUUAGCUAGUAGGUGGGGUAACGGCUCACCUAGGCGACGAUCCCUAGCUGGUCUGAGAGGAUGACCAGCCACACUGGAACUGAGACACGGUCCAGACUCCUACGGGAGGCAGCAGUGGGGAAUAUUGCACAAUGGGCGCAAGCCUGAUGCAGCCGUGCCGCGUGUAUGAAGAAGGCCUUCGGGUUGUAAAGUACUUUCAGCGGGGAGGAAGGGAGUAAAGUUAAUACCUUUGCUCAUUGACGUUACCCGCAGAAGAAGCACCGGCUAACUCCGUG